CUUCUUCUAUAGGAAAGUAGUAAUCCAUUGGUUU
rnacentral:tRNA from 1 species